rnacentral:ncRNA from 19 species
CAUCGCUUCAGGGCGGGGUGUAAUUCCCCACCGGUGGUAAAGUUAAUUUUUAUUGUUAAAUUAACAAGCCCACGAGCUUAAAUUAUGUAAUUUGAGCAGAUUUGGUGAAACUCCAAAGCCGACGGUAUAGUCCGGAUGAAAGAAGACGACG